UAUCAUUGACGGCCGGACACUUGCUCUCUCCCGCCAUGGCCAUACAGUCUGUUCUCUCCCUCUCUUCUCAUCCUUUCACCUUUCGCUUUCAGUCAAACAAGCCUUCUGCACUUAUACUCUGUAAGCCACUUCUCCAUGUCCAAAACCUAGGGUUCUGCUUCAUAAAGCCACUCCAGCAUUCUCGAACUGUCAACAAGUGUCCCAGGUCUGUUUUGCCGGUGGAGUCUCAAGUCUCCGACGAAGGCGAAGACGACGAAGAAGAAGAAGAAGAAGAGGAGGAGGAGGAAGAAGAGGAAGACGACGAUGCUGAAGACGAAGAAGCUGCGGAAGAGUAUGGCGUCAUUUCAGCUGAGGUUUCCGACGGAGGCGAAGAAAGUGAGUACGAAAGUGACGCUGCAAAUUCGAUUGAUGUGGCGAGAGAUGAUAAGUUGAAGUUUGAGGAAUUUAAAUGGCAGAGAGUCGAGAGGAUUUGUAGGGACGUUCGAGAAUUCGGAGAAGAAAUUAUCGACGCUAACGAACUUGCUUCAGUUUACAAUUUCCGUAUUGAUAAGUUCCAGAGAUUGGCGAUUCAAGCGUUUCUACGAGGCUCGUCAGUCGUAGUGUCUGCGCCAACAAGUAGUGGCAAAACUUUAAUUGCUGAAGCUGCCGCUGUUGCGACAGUGGCAAAAGGAAGGAGAUUGUUCUACACUACUCCUCUUAAGGCUUUGUCAAAUCAGAAAUUUCGGGAAUUCCGGGAGACAUUUGGUGAUAGUAAUGUUGGGCUUAUUACAGGAGAUUCAGUGAUAAAUAAAGAUGCUCAGGUUUUAAUUAUGACUACUGAGAUUUUGCGCAAUAUGUUGUAUCAGAGUGUUGGAAUGGUUUCAUCAGACAGUGGACUUCUACAUGUUGAUGUGAUUGUUUUGGAUGAAGUACAUUAUUUGAGUGACAUAUCUCGGGGUACUGUCUGGGAAGAAAUUGUUAUUUAUUGCCCAAAAGAAGUUCAACUUAUAUGCCUGUCGGCAACUGUUGCUAAUCCAGAUGAGUUGGCUGGUUGGAUAGGUCAGAUUCAUGGUAGAACUGAGUUGGUGACAUCACUCAGACGUCCAGUUCCCCUGACAUGGCACUUCUCAACUAAAACAUCUUUACUACCUCUUCUUAAUGAAAAAGGCACAAGCAUGAGCAGGAGUUUAUCACUCAAUUAUUUACAACUUGAUGAAUCAGAAGCUACAUUACAGAAGGGUGAACGGUCUAGAAGGAGAAAUUCAAGAAAACGUGGAAGUGAUGUAAAUCCACUCUCAAAGAAUGAGAUAUCUACUCUUCGCCGCUCACAGGUGCCCCAGAUUAUGGACACAUUAUUGCAGCUAAAGGCAAGGGAUAUACUUCCAGCAGUGUGGUUUAUCUUUAGUAGGAAGGGAUGUGAUGCAGCUGUUCAGUAUCUUGAAAACUGUAAGCUACUUGAUGAGUGUGAAGUGAGCGAAGUUGAACUGGCCUUGAAGAGGUUCCGCAUUCAAUAUCCUGAUGCAGUGAGAGAAUCCUCUGUGAAGGGCCUUCGGCGAGGGUUGGCUUCACAUCAUGCUGGCUGUCUUCCCUUGUGGAAAUCAUUUAUUGAAGAGCUAUUUCAGCGAGGACUUGUUAAAGUUGUCUUUGCAACAGAGACACUCGCUGCUGGAAUUAACAUGCCUGCUAGGACAGCUGUUAUUUCAUCUCUCAGCAAGAGGGGAGACAGUGGACGUGUCCUGUUAAGCUCAAAUGAAUUGUUCCAAAUGGCUGGGCGAGCUGGUCGAAGGGGUAUUGAUGAAUUGGGUCAUGUAGUUCUUGUUCAGACUCCAUAUGAAGGUCCUGAAGAGUGCUGCAAACUAAUAUUUUCUGGACUUCAACCCCUUGUCUCACAAUUUACUGCUUCCUAUGGCAUGGUGCUAAAUCUUCUAGCGGGGGCCAAAGUUACUCGUGGAUCAAUGGAAUCAGAUGAACUGAAAAUCUCACGAGGAGGACGGACUUUGGAAGAAGCAAGGAAAUUAAUUGAGCAGAGUUUUGGAAAUUAUGUAGGGAGCAAUGUUAUGGUUGCUGCAAAAGAAGAGCUUUCUAGAAUUGAGAAGGAGAUUGAGAUGCUAACUUCUGAAAUAAGUGACGAAGCAAUUGAUAGAAAAAUCCAGAAGCUCUUGUCACAAUCGGCUUAUCAGGAGAUUUCCAAUCUUCAGGAGGAAUUAAAAGCAGAAAAACGCUUGCGUACUGAACUGCGGAGAAGAAUGGAACUGGAGAGAAUGUUUUCUUUGAAACCUUUGUUGAAGGAACUGGAGGAUGGGCAUCUGCCAUUUGUGUGUUUGCAGUACAAUGAUGCUGAUGGGGUUCAACAUUUAGUUGCUGCUGUUUAUUUGGGAAAUGUUGAUGCUUUAAGUGCUUCAAAACUUAAGAAUGUGGUUCACCACUCUGAUUUGUUUGCUAUAAAUAUGGAAGUAGAAAGUAAUGAAAAUGGUGGUAAUGAAGGUGAAGAUAAUUCCAAACCAUGCUACCAUGUGGCUCUUGGUUCGGACAACUCUUGGUACCUUUUCACAGAAAAGUGGAUUAGAACAGUAUACAGAACAGGCUUCCCAAAUGUUGCCUUAGCUCAUGGUGAUGCCUUGCCUCGUGAAAUUAUGACAGAACUUGUUGAGAAGGGGGAUAUGCAAUGGCAGAAGCUGGCAGAGUCAGGAUUUGGAGGUUUAUGGUGCAUGGAGGGAUCGUUAGAGACAUGGUCUUGGAGUUUAAAUGUGCCAGUCUUGAGUACUCUCUCUGAGGAUGAUGAGGUCCUCGAAUUUUCUCAAGCUUACAAGGACAUAGUAGAAUGCUAUAAAGAUCAAAGAAAUAAAGUUUCUCGUUUGAAGAAAAAGAUAGCACGAUCAGAAGGAUUUAAAGAGUAUAAGAAGAUUGUAGAUAUGGCUGGAUUCACAGAGGAGAAGAUUCGAAGGUUGAAAGUUAGGUCAAAUCGAUUGAUUAACCGCAUACAACAGAUUGAGCCAACUGGCUGGAAGGAGUUUUUGCAGGUCAGCAAUGUCAUUCAUGAAAGUAGGGCAUUGGAUAUCAAUACACAUGUUAUAUUUCCACUUGGUGAAACUGCGGCAGCGAUUCGAGGAGAAAAUGAACUCUGGCUUGCCAUGGUUCUUCGAAAUAAAUUAUUGCUGGGCUUAAAGCCUGCACAACUUGCUGCUGUUUGUGGAAGUCUAGUUUCUGAAGGGAUUAAACUUCGGCCUUCAAAAAAUAACUGUUACAUAUAUGAACCCUCUGCCAUUGUCUUGGAUGUCAUCAACUUAUUAGAAGAACAAAGAACCUCAGUUCUCGAACUUCAAGAGAAGCAUGGAGUAAGGAUACCUUGCUGCUUGGAUAGCCAAUUUUCUGGCAUGGUUGAAGCUUGGGCUUCUGGUUUAACUUGGAAGGAGAUUAUGAUGGACUGUGCUAUGGAUGAAGGAGAUUUAGCCCGCCUUUUAAGAAGAUCGAUUGAUAUAUUGGCUCAGGUUCCUAAAUUGCCUGAUAUUGACCCACUGCUGCAAAGCAAUGCCAAAAGUGCAUCCAGUGUGAUGGAUCGUCCACCAAUAAGUGAACUGGCUGGAUGAAAUUGAUUCCAAUAUAGGAAUUAUUCUUUCCCUCGUAAGAGUAACGCAACUUCAAGCCAGAUGCGCAUUGGGACAGUUCAGAAAGCGGAUCCUAACCCUCAUCGAAUUCAAGAGUCUUGCCCGUUAGGUGGAGAAUCAUAUAUAACUAAUUGCUUGAAGAAUGUAUUGGGGUAACAAAUUUUCACUAGAGUCACAAGUAAUACAAGGCAAAGUUGUUGGAAGUGUUAGGUUGUGACAACUACAGAAUGGGUGGACUAGUCAGUCUACUACAGGUUUGGUUUGACACACAACAUUUUGUCUGAGAAUCCAUUUAUGUAUGUAGUAAGAUCUCAUUUUUUCAGUACUUGCUGACAUUAAUGUAUUCAGGGAAGCUAAAAUUGUUAAUCUUAUGUAAUCUGGUAUGGUUGACUAAUUUCACCAAAAAAAAAAAAAAAAAAAAAGUUGAAACCAGAUUGUAAAAUAAUUGAGCUAUUCUCUAGUCAUUGAAGUGAUACUCGAGGAUUAUAUUAACAACUGUUUUUGGAA